CAGCAGCCGCGGGAAAACAGAGGGUGCAAGCGUUAAUCGGAAUUACUGGGCGUAAAGCGCGCGUAGGUGGUUCGCCAAGUUGGAUGUGAAAUCCCCGGGCUCAACCUGGGAACUGCAUCCAAAACUGGCGAGCUAGAGUAUGGUAGAGGGUGGUGGAAUUUCCUGUGUAGCGGUGAAAUGCGUAGAUAUAGGAAGGAACAUCAGUGGCGAAGGCGACCACCUGGACUGAUACUGACACUGAGGUGCGAAAGCGUGGGGAGCAAACAGGAUUAGAUACCCCCGUAGUCCCUGUCUCUUAUAC
rnacentral:rRNA from 1 species